UCCUUCUCACACAAACGCUGCCACCACUGGUGUGUGAAUGCGUGUGUAAAUCUGUGAUUGGGGCUCUAAAGCCUUUUGGAUGUUAAAGAAGACAUGAUAGUUUGGAGUCUGGCUUUGACUGUCAGGAGGGUUUCUGCCUCUCAAACCCAAAGGCAAAGCUGCUUUUGCAAGAGUCCACAGGUCAUGGAGAUUUGACCAGCCCUGGAAAUGCUUAGCACUCCUGGAGGAGUCAUUGAGUUGUUUGCUUGAAGUUUGUGGUGAGCAGACAGAGCACGCCUUUACCCUGCAGAUACUGCUGUGCCGGCUGAGAUCCCAACUCUACUUUCUUCAAGCUGUAUUUUGUGUUUUAUCACCACUUAUCCUCACUGCUGUUGGAUUAUCAAUCAAUCAGUGGGAUAAUAACUUGGUUGAGCUUUAGAUCUGCGAAAAAGAAGUGGUUUGUUCUUAAAAACGAGAAGCCUUAUCUGUGCCAGGUCAUCACUCUGAGCCGCUGUCACAUGCAACAGACUUUUGCUGUCCUUUGAGUUUUUUUUUCACAUUCAACAGCACAAACAAGACUUAAAAUUGCUUUUUAUUGUAAACCAAAAUUGUACCAUAAUCAUGCUUUUGUUUCAUUAUAUACAUAAAAACACAGUAUAACCUUUUGAAGUUCAUGUCAUUGAUUGUGUCUGCAGCUCAAAGAUGCCUUUAAGAUGAGAGCAGAGUUAUUACUUUUUCAUUAUUUACAAGUUCAGUUUUAGCUUAGACUGAGAAAGAAAUGACUUCAGGACCAAAAGUUUGGACACACCUUCCCAUUCAUUUGAAUGUGUCUAAACUUUUGGUCUGUACCGCACAAAUGAAUACAAAUCUUUUUUUAUUUAUUAUUAAUAUGGGUGUGUAGGAAAUAAGAUUUAAAUGGAACCAAAUGUGAGUUUUUAUACAUGACGAAUGUGUGUCGGAUGUUUCUAUGUGUAUAUGUGUAGCAUAUGUGUAUCUGUGUCCUCAUUAGAAAGGGAACAGGACUAUAAAAGAUAGUGGGGGCACUGAGUGUGGUAAUAAAUUUGGUUGAGGAUAUUGGUGAGAAUUAGUAAAGGAAUUUGACUUCUUAUCACUUGCUUUUAGAUCUUUAUUGUGUUAAAGUAUAAGUACGAAAUAAAAUAUCAUCACCAUUAUCAUUUUAUUUAAUGAAGUUUAUAUUUAAAGUAUAAAUUAGCAAGCUAAAUUGUUUUUAGGGUAAAAUAAAAAGUGUAUUAAGAAUGAAGUGUUUAAUUUCAUUUGUUCUUUAAAAAACAAAUCUAUAUUGUUUUCAGAAUGUAUGCAUUUAACGUGUAUGUAAUAACUCCACCAAACGUGUAUUAUAUUGUAAGGAUAAAACUUCAAUGAUUGGCUUUUUUAUAUUUCUAUUUACUCUUUAUACAUCAGAAGUAGCAUCAGAAAUAGAAAUAGAGAUCUUCUACUGGGCAAUAUAAAGCAUGAACUUCAAAUUAAGACAGUUGUACAUUUUUCUUUUGGAUCAUUUUGCAGGACUUUUGCUAAUGUAAGUGAAUGUAUUAUGUUUACAUAAAAACUCUUCAAUAUUUUAAAAGAUGUCUCUAAGUUAAUGAAACAAGUUAUGGUUUCUCCAAACUUCUGCUUCCUCUAAAAUGAUCAAUCUUUUUUUAGCGUGUAGACAACGUUUCUCAACUGUAAGGUAGUUCAAAUCCUCCCUGUUUGUUUUGGCUCUCGCUUCAAUGAAAUACAGGUGACAUCACGCUGCAACAGCACAGUGGUAGAUGUCCGACUGUAUUGCGCAACAUCAGUUUGUCCACAGAGAGCUUCUAUGAGAGCCGUGUGACUUAAGGAACUCGCUCCGUCACUGUUGCUUUUUGUUUUCACUGCCAACUUGUUCGACAGCAAACGCAACUUG